UACGAAAAUGAAUUGGUGAUUCGUACGUUGAAAAUUUUGUGCACAACAUGGUGUCUGGAGAUCACGAAAGAUUGCUGCCGGAACCGGAAAAUUAUGUGAAAUGUUUUUAUGACCUUUUCAAAAGUAUCGCAGAAGCACAGAGAUGUUUAAAGUAACCUAAAAUUGUUUGUUUAUUAAAGUUGAUGUAUACUGUAUUGUCAUUUUGACAAUUCUCAUACGAAAUGUGUAAAAAAUAUUGAUUUA